UGGUAGAUGCACCCUGAUUAUGAAACCCUCGAUCACAGGAUCGAGGGUUUUUCUU
rnacentral:sRNA from 1 species